rnacentral:piRNA from 1 species
UGACUCCACUUGACUGAAAAGCCUACUGACC